rnacentral:rRNA from 1 species
GACGAACGCUGGCGGCGUGCCUAAUACAUGCAAGUCGAGCGGACUUUCAAGAAGCUUGCUUUUUGAAAGUUAGCGGCGGACGGGUGAGUAACACGUGGGCAACCUGCCUGCAAGACGGGGAUAACUCCGGGAAACCGGGGCUAAUACCGGAUAAUAUCUUCCUUCGCAUGAAGGAAGGUUGAAAGGCGGCGCAAGCUGCCGCUUGCAGAUGGGCCCGCGGCGCAUUAGCUAGUUGGUGAGGUAACGGCUCACCAAGGCGACGAUGCGUAGCCGACCUGAGAGGGUGAUCGGCCACACUGGGACGGAGACACGGCCCAGACUCCUACGGGAGGCAGCAGUAGGGAAUCUUCCGCAAUGGACGAAAGUCUGACGGAGCAACGCCGCGUGAGCGAAGAAGGUCGUCGGAUCGUAAAGCUCUGUUGUCAGGGAAGAACAAGUACCGUUCGAACAGGGCGGUACCUUGACGGUACCUGACCAGAAAGCCACGGCUAACUACGUG